rnacentral:misc_RNA from 1 species
UGCGGAAGGAUCAUUAGCGCGCAGGCCGGAGGCUGGCCCCCCACGAUAGGGCCAAACGUCCGUCAGGGGUGAGCAGAUGUGCGCCGGCCGUACCGCCCCAUUCUUGUCUACAUUACUCGGUUGCCUCGGCGGGCCGCGCUCUCCCAGGAGAGCCGUUCGGCGAGCCUCUCUUUAGUGGCUAAACGCUGGACCGCGCCCGCCGGAGGACAGACGCAAAAAAAUUCUUUCAGAAGAGCUGUCAGUCUGAGCGUUAGCAAGCAAAAAUCAGUUAAAACUUUCAACAACGGAUCUCUUGGUUCCGGCAUCGAUGAAGAACGCAGCGAAAUGCGAUAAGUAAUGUGAAUUGCAGAAUUCCGUGAAUCAUCGAAUCUUUGAACGCACAUUGCGCCCCCUGGCAUUCCGGGGGGCAUGCCUGUUCGAGCGUCAUUUCAGCCCCUCAAGCCCGGCUUGUGUGAUGGACGACCGUCCGGCGCCCCCGUCUUUGGGGGUGCGGGACGCGCCCGAAAAGCAGUGGCCAGGCCGCGAUUCCGGCUUCCUAGGCGAAUGGGCAACAAACCAGCGCCUCCAGGACCGGCCGCCCUGGCCUCAAAAUCUGUUUUAUACUUAUCAGGUUGACCUCGGAU